GGCGUAUUUAGUGAUGCUUGCGGUUAUGUCGUUCAAUGUUGGAGUGUUUUUGGUAGCAAUCGGUGGUCAUUGCCUCGGAUUCUUCUUCUUUGGGAGUAGAUUUUUCAAGAAUUCAGGCGCGGCUUCUGCUUAUGUGAAGUUAUAACAGAAGGGAAAUUGAUAAUUUGGAAUGCUUGGAUUCAGAUUCCGGGAUAAUUCGUUAGUAAUUUUCUUCUUCUUCACAGUAAUAUUUCAUCGUUCUUCAUUUGGAUUC